CCUACGGGUGGCUGCAGUCGAGAAUCAUUCACAAUGGGGGAAACCCUGAUGGUGCGACGCCGCGUGGGGGAAUGAAGGUCUUCGGAUUGUAAACCCCUGUCAUGUGGGAGCAAAUUAAAAAGAUAGUACCACAAGAGGAAGAGACGGCUAACUCGGUGCCAGCAGCCGCGGUAAUACAGAGGUCUCAAGCGUUGUUCGGAAUCACUGGGCGUAAAGGGUGCGGAGGCGGUUUCGUAAGUCGUGUGUGAAAGGCGCGGGCUCAACCCGCGGACGGCACAUGAUACUGCGAGACUAGAGUAAUGGAGGGGGAACCGGAAUUCUCGGUGUAGCAGUGAAAUGCGUAGAUAUCGAGAGGAACACUCGUGGCGAAGGCGGGUUCCUGGACAUUAACUGACGCUGAGGCACGAAGGCCAGGGGAGCGAAAGGGAUUAGAUACCCUUGUAGUC
rnacentral:rRNA from 1 species